rnacentral:rRNA from 1 species
ACGAACGCUGGCGGCGUGCCUAAUACAUGCAAGUCGAGCGGACCGACGGGAGCUUGCUCCCUUAGGUCAGCGGCGGGCGGGUGAGUAACACGUGGGUAACCUGCCUGUAAGACUGGGAUAACUCCGGGAAACCGGGGCUAAUACCGGAUGCUUGAUUGAACCGCAUGGUUCAAUCAUAAAAGGUGGCUUUUAGCUACCACUUGCAGAUGGACCCGCGGCGCAUUAGCUAGUUGGUGAGGUAACGGCUCACCAAGGCGACGAUGCGUAGCCGACCUGAGAGGGUGAUCGGCCACACUGGGACUGAGACACGGCCCAGACUCCUACGGGAGGCAGCAGUAGGGAAUCUUCCGCAAUGGACGAAAGUCUGACGGAGCAACGCCGCGUGAGUGAUGAAGGUUUUCGGAUCGUAAAACUCUGUUGUUAGGGAAGAACAAGUACCGUUCGAAUAGGGCGGUACCUUGACGGUACCUAACCAGAAAGCCACGGCUAACUACGUGCCAGCAGCCGCGGUAAUACGUAGGUGGCAAGCGUUGUCCGGAAUUAUUGGGCGUAAAGCGCGCGCAGGCGGUUUCUUAAGUCUGAUGUGAAAGCCCCCGGCUCAACCGGGGAGGGUCAUUGGAAACUGGGGAACUUGAGUGCAGA